UGCGAGACCGAUAGCGAACAAGUACCGUGAGGGAAAGAUGAAAAGAACUUUGAAAAGAGAGUUAAAGAGUACCUGAAACUGCUGAAAGGGAACCGAAUCGUUUCCAGUGUCUAUAAUCUAUGGCAUAUUUCAUUGGCGUGUGGAUGUGUGCAGCGUUUUGGAAGUAGUUUUCUGCUCCUGUCGUUGUUUUGCGUUCGCCUGCUGGUGCCCUGUGCUGUAGUGGGACGUCAGAGUCAAUUCGUAUGCUGCGGGAAAUGGUUACUGGGGAGGUAGGUCACUUCGGUGGCUGUUAUAUCCUGGUAAUUAGUCGUCGUGGUUGGGAUUGAGGUGCCUACAAUGUGCUUUCGAGUCUGUGGGCCUCUCGUUUGGCCAUUUGCCUUGAUAGCUUGCUAUGUUGGUGAAUGUGUUGAGCGAUUGAGAUCUGUAGUAACUUGUUGCUGUUCGGGACUUUGAA
rnacentral:rRNA from 2 species